AGAACGAACGCUGGCGGCGUGCUUAACACAUGCAAGUCGAACGCGAAAGGGACUUCGGUCCUGAGUAAAGUGGCGCACGGGUGAGUAACGCGUAGAUAACCUGUCUUCAUGUCUGGAAUAAUACGCCGAAAGGGGUACUAAUACCGGAUAUUCUUGCUUUUCAUAAGUUAUGCAAGCAAAGGUGGCCUCUGCAUAUGCUACUGCAUGAAGAGGGGUCUGCGUACCAUUAGCUAGUAGGUGGGGUAAUGGCCUACCUAGGCGACGAUGGUUAGCGGGUCUGAGAGGAUGAUCCGCCACACUGGCACUGGAACACGGGCCAGACUCCUACGGGAGGCAGCAGUGAGGAAUAUUGCGCAAUGGGGGAAACCCUGACGCAGCGACGCCGCGUGAGUGAAGGAAGGCCUUCGGGUCGUAAAGCUCUGUCAAGAGGAAAGAAGUGUACAAUGGCUAAUACCUGUUGUAUUUGACGGUACCUCUAAAGGAAGCACCGGCUAACUCCGUGCCAGCAGCCGC
rnacentral:rRNA from 1 species